rnacentral:rRNA from 1 species
AUGGCUCAGUGAGGCCUUGGGACUGGCUCAGAGAGGUCGGCAACGACCACUCAGAGCCGGAAACUUGGUCAAACUUGGUCAUUUAGAGGAAGUAAAAGUCGUAACAAGGUUUCCGUAGGUGAACCUGCGGAAGGAUCAUUACUGAGUUAGGGUCCCCUGGGCCCGAACCUCCCAACCCUUUGUCUACCUGACCUCUGUUGCUUCGGCGGGCCCGUCCUUUACCGGACCGCCGGAGGACCGUCGCCCUGCGGCGUCCUCUGGCCCGUGCCCGUCGAUGGCCAACCUUUAAAACUCUAUGCUGAAAUCAUGUUUAUUUGUCUGAAUCCACAAAAAAAAAUAAAAGCAAAACUUUCAACAACGGAUCUCUUGGUUCUGGCAUCGAUGAAGAACGCAGCGAAAUGCGAUAAGUAAUGCGAAUUGCAGAAUUCCAGUGAGUCAUCGAAUCUUUGAACGCACAUUGCGCCCUUUGGCAUUCCGAAGGGCAUGCCUGUUCGAGCGUCAUUAUCACCCCUCAAGCCUUGUGCUUGGUGUUGGAUGGCCUGGUCGAGGUGCGCCUCGACCCCUCCCAAAGACAAUGACGGCGGCCUGCGGCUCCCCCGGCACACUGAGCUUUUCAUCGAGCACGUGUCGGAUUACUGGGUGCGCGGGCCACGGUCCUCUUCCUAGUGGCUAGGAAACUUCACGCAAGGUUGACCUCGGAUCAGGUAGGAAUACGCGCUGAACUUAAGCAUAUCAAUAAGCGCAGGAAAAGAAACCAACAGGGAUUGCCUCAGUAACGGCGAGUGAAGCGGCAACAGCUCAAAUUUGAAAUCUGGCCUCUUGGGGUCCGAGUUGUAAUUUGUAGAGGAUGUUUUGGGUACCGCCCCGGUUUAAAUUUCUUGGAACAGAAUGUCAAAGAGGGUGAGAAUCCCGUCUUGGACCGGCGGUAGGGCCUGUGUAAAACUCCUUCGACGAGUCGAGUUGUUUGGGAAUGCAGCUCAAAAUGGGUGGUAAAUUUCAUCUAAAGCUAAAUAUUGGCCAGAGACCGAUAGCGCACAAGUAGAGUGAUCGAAAGAUGAAAAGCACUUUGAAAAGAGAGUUAAACAGUAUGUGAAAUUGUUGAAAGGGAAGCGCUUGCAACCAGACUUGCACGCGGCGGUUCCCCUUGCCUUUUGGUCAGGGUACUCCGUCACGUUCAGGCCAACAUCGGUUUUGGGGGCCAGUUAAAGGCCCUGGGAAUGUACCUACCUACGGGUAGACUUAUAGACCAGGGUGCCAUGUGGCCUCCCGGGACCGAGGAACGCGCUUCGGCUCGGAUGUUGGCGUAAUGGUUGUCAGCGACCCGUCUUGAAACACGGACCAAGGAGUCUAACAUCUAUGCGAGUGUUUGGGUGUCAAACCCGGAACGCGGAAUGAAAGUGAACGGAGGUAGGAAGCUUCGGCUGCACUAUCGACCGAUCCUGAAGUUUACGGAUGGAUUUGAGUAAGAGCAUAGCUGUUGGGACCCGAAAGAUGGUGAACUAUGCCUGAAUAGGGUGAAGCCAGAGGAAACUCUGGUGGAGGCUCGCAGCGGUUCUGACGUGCAAAUCGAUCGUCAAAUUUGGGUAUAGGGGCGAAAGACUAAUCGAACCAUUAAACAAAAGUUACCGGUGGUUGAGUGUGCCUAUGAAAGUAGGUGCAAGUGCCGAAUUCUGGCGCAACACUGUCAAAUUGCGGGGACUCCCUAAAGCUUCAACGACCGUCGCGCAGACGAAAGUGGGCGUCGACACCAGGUUAACGGCCUCGGGCAUGGUAACACGGUUGAAGAUGUAACAAUGGGUAAUCUGCAGCCAAGUCCUACGGGCUCCUGCCGGAGCCUACGGAUGCAGUUCACAGACUAAAUGGCAGUGGGCUCCCCCCCUCGGGGGCUUAAGACAUAGUCGGUCCCCCGGAGAGAUCCGGGCGCACACGCUAAAUCUCAGGUGAAAGAAUUCUACGAUUCCGUAGUCGCCUUGGGACCCGAACGGUGCGGACGUCCUCUGGCGCCGAGUAAUGC